rnacentral:lncRNA from 1 species
GAAAAAGAAAAAGAAAAAGCACGCAAACCCUAGUUUGCUUUUAGCUCAUGGCCGCCACCAUUUCCUUUCAUUUUCAUCACCUAAAUUCAUCAAUUCACAGCUGCCACCAUUUCCUCUCCUUUUCAUCUCCCAAAUUCAUCAAUUUAAAUCAUCAUCAUCAUCAAUUCGUCACCAAUUAUCAUCAUCAAUGCGUCAUCAAUCAUCAGCAAAGGCUUGAAUUCUUAGUAACUCCUAAACUCAUUCACGGUCACAGCUUUGCCGCAGACAAUCGUGCACACAAAGUGACGAUUUGGCAUUCAUGGACGUAGACGACACAAAUUCGCUGGGUUUUCAAUCACGUUGUCUUCUGUGUUGUAUUUUGCUAUCAUUUUAGCUUUUGUUUGAUGAUGAAAAGCAUACAAUCACAAAAUUUGGGUUUUGUUUUGCACUUUUGCUUCACUAUUUUGUUAUAUUCUUUAAUCAUUUUUUUCCCUUUGAUUUAAAUAUUACUCUUGUUUUGAUAUUGAAGCAAUCGGUAAUGGAAAAAAGUUGCAGAGUUGAACGUUGACAGGGCUCUACCUCUGGUUUUCUACUCGGGGAACAAGCCUAAAAAUGGUGCCCAUCCGGGUUCAAAACUCGGAUUUCGGAAACCUAGAUAUUUACGGAUUGAACCCGGUCCGCACCCAGAGUUUAAAAAUCCAGGUUUAUUUCCGGAUCCGAAAUAGCAAAUUGUCAUUCAGGUCCGGAACCGGAAUGGACAAACCCGGACGCGGAUUUUGUCAUUCCUAAGUCUAACCCAUGUUUCUCUAUCCUCGUCAUAAAGACUAUAAAAAAAAUAUAUAAC